UGGGGAAUAUUGCACAAUGGGCGCAAGCCUGAUGCAGCCAUGCCGCGUGUAUGAAGAAGGCCUUCGGGUUGUAAAGUACUUUCAGUCGGGAGGAAGGUGGUAAGGUUAAUAACCUUAUCAAUUGACGUUACCGACAGAAGAAGCACCGGCUAACUCCGUGCCAGCAGCCGCGGUGAUACGGAGGGUGCAAGCGUUAAUCGGAAUUACUGGGCGUAAAGCGCACGCAGGCGGUUGAUUGAGUCAGAUGUGAAAUCCCCGGGCUUAACCCGGGAAUUGCAUCUGAUACUGGCAAGCUUGAGUCUCGUAGAGGGGGGUAGAAUUCCAGGUGUAGCGGUGAAAUGCGUAGAGAUCUGGAGGAAUACCGGUGGCGAAGGCGGCCCCCUGGACGAAGACUGACGCUCAGGUGCGAAAGCGUGGGGAGCAAACAGG
rnacentral:rRNA from 1 species